rnacentral:lncRNA from 1 species
GCGGAUGCUGUGACAAGGGGCGGGCGAGGGAGGGCUCCGCGUCAGGGGCAGACAGCUCCAGGUGCUGGAGGCUGCCGCGCGGAGAGGUCCGCCCAGCCAGGAUGUGCGUUGUCCUGAGAAUCGAAUUACCCGGAACCCCAGAGCUCACCCUCUCUGAAGGAGAGCAGGUGCCUCCUGAGAGCAGGGCUUCUCUACCUUGGGGCACUAUGAACAUUCUGAGUGGGGCGCCCUGAACGAGUGCCCAGAUGCUUGUGAGGCCCAGAUCUUGGGGUGUGCAGCCAGGAAGGGCUCUGCUAGCUUUCCCACCUCCCUCCUGACCUCUUCUGCCCCUCACUGGACCCAGCCCGUUGGCUUCAGGAUGGGCCCCACGGGACAUGCUUUCAUGGAACCUGAGGAAAGAAUGCACUUACAACAGCGCCGGGAGCACAGAGGCUUCCCACUACCCUUUCCGAGAAGCACGUCUAUUUUCUCUAAUUUAUUCAGUGCCGCUGUGCGUGUGUGGCCUCUCAGGGCCCACUUUGUUCAUCUCUGCUCACUGGGGGAGCCAGGACACGGAUCCAGGUUUUCUGACUCCAGGUCUCAGGCUUGCUCCAUAGCGCCACCUGCUGGUAGGCACCCAAAUCAAGACUCAGAUUUCCUCAUCUCAGAAGUUGUCCACUUCUUCUCCGACCUCCACGGUAACUCGGAACCACACCGUGGAGUUAUCCCUGUGUCCUCUUUCUCGGAAGUUCCACAUCCAACCCCUCAGCAGGUCUCAGCGGCACUCUCACCACCUCCUCUGCUCUGUUCCUGUUUCUCUUGGAUGGUCGAAUGUUUCCUAAGGAGUGUCUGCUGCUUCACGCUUGCCCCCUGGAGUGGCAUCUAAAAGGUGCA